GGAUCAUUAAAGAGUAUUCAAAACAACUCUCCCAACCCGUGUGAACCUACCCAUCGUUGCCUCGGCGGUGACGCCUACCCGGUAGCAGUUACCCUGUAGCAUCGUUACUUACCCUGUAGGGACCUACCCUGUAGCGCUUACCCUGUAGUCGGCCGCCGGUGGACUUUUUAAGCUCGUCUCUGCAGUGGCACUUCUGAAGUAUAGCAUUUUUAUGAAUAAGUCAAAACUUUCAACAACGGAUCUCUUGGUUCUGGCAUCGAUGAAGAACGCAGCGAAAUGCGAUAAGUAAUGUGAAUUGCAGAAUUUAGUGAAUCAUCGAAUCUUUGAACGCACAUUGCGCCCACCAGUAUUCUGAUGGGCAUGCCUGUUCGAGCGUCAUUACAGCACUUAAGCCUAAGUUGCUUAACGUUGGGGGCUCACCUCUGCGGGUGACCUCUUAAAGAUAUCGGCGAGGUCCGUCCGGAGACCCGAGCGUAGUAAAAUAUCCUCGCUCGGGGCCCUGUCGGCCGCUGCCACAAAUAACCUAUUCUCUAAGUUUGACCUCGGAUCAGGUAGGAAUACCCGCUGAACUUAAGCAUAUCAAUAAGCGGAGGAAAAGAAACCAACAGGGAUUCCCCUAGUAACGGCGAGUGAAGCGGGAACAGCUCAAAUUUGAAAGCUGGCCUUCUGGUCCGCGUUGUAAUUUGUAGAGGAUGCUUUUGGCGCGGUGCCUUCUGAGUCCAUUGGAACAUGGCGCCUCAGAGGGUGAGAGCCCCGUACAGUUGGACACCAAGCCUCCGUAAAGCUCCUUCGACGAGUCGAGUAGUUUGGGAAUGCUGCUCUAAAUGGGAGGUAAAUUUCUUCUAAAGCUAAAUACCGGCCAGAGACCGAUAGCGCACAAGUAGAGUGAUCGAAAGAUGAAAAGCACUUUGAAAAGAGGGUUAAACAGCACGUGAAAUUGUUGAAAGGGAAGCGCUUAUGACCAGACCUUCUCCUGGCGGAUCAUCCGGCGUUCUCGCCGGUGCACUUCGCCAGGUCUAGGCCAACAUCGAUUCGCGCCGGGGGAUAAAGGCCUCGGGAAUGUGACUCCCUUCGGGGAGUGUUAUAGCCCGUCGUACAAUACCCCGGGGCGGAUCGAGGCUCGCGCU
rnacentral:rRNA from 1 species